AUGUCCCCUUGAGUUCCCUUAAACGCUUCAUUGUUCAUACUUUGUUAUCAUCUAUCGAUCGAUCAAUCAAUCUGAUGAACACUGAAGUGUUUGGGGGGACUCUAGGUGACAU
rnacentral:pre_miRNA from 14 species